UCUCGAAAGAAAAAACGUCCUAACCCAUCUCAUAUUUCAUGCGGUCCAUGCUGGAUUAGAGGCUUCGUGGAGAUGUUGACACGACCCACCCCGAAUUUCACCCUGAAACCCGGAGUAACUCGUGCGGGGACCACCUCUAAGAAAGAUAUUACCGAAAAAUCAGCAUAACCUCCCUUGAAAAUGGACAACCCUUCCUAACGAAAACCUGCAAACACUUCCAAAAAUUUUUAAUCCAACCUUAACUCCGGGAGCCUACGUGCUCCCCAAAAACAACUACCUCCAACAACACAACAUUAUCCAACAUCAAAUAUAAUUAUCCAAAAGAUAACAUAAAUCCUCCAACAAAUAUUCUAAGAUGUCAACAAGUCUUCACCCACAACCGAAAUAAUAUACAUUAAACCCAAGUAUUCAGAGCUACUAAACACUAGCGGAAAAAGAAACCACAAGUAGGUUAAACAGGUAACCUACUGAUGAAAAGUGGUGGAAAUGCGGGUGACUAUGCCUCGUCUCCUACUAGGUCCAACCCGAACUCUGCAGACUGGGCAUUUUAAAACGAAGGGUCCAAGGGAAACAUUUGAACACACGUUAGAGUGAGUGGACAAAAAUAAAAUUAAUGAAAUAAUUCUUUAUGCUUUCCCAAUUUUACUUUUCCAUAGAAAAACAUGCUGCAUGCGACAAUUCAAAACGCUCAACACGAAAACUGGAAAUUUCAUGACUAGCUCCGGCCAGUCUCCAACGCUCAAUAAAAUACAGCCUCUCAGGCUAAAAUAAAAUAUGCAUGUAUUACACUCGUCAUAUCCCUUGUAUGAAUUUUCUUGAAACAACUAAAACAAAUAGAAAAUUCACAUAAGGCUACAACGCUUGCGUCUAACGCUCACGUUGCACCAUAAUGACAUUUUACCUCAUUAUGGUGGAAAAGACGGUGUAUAAAUAUACGCGCAUAUCCCCUAUAUAAAUUAUUAUUUUUAUAUAGGGCUACAACGAUUGCGUCUAACGCUCAUGUUGCACCAUAAUGGAAUUUUACCUCAGUAUGGUGGAAAGCACGUAUAGCUAGCUAGCAAUUCUCUCA
rnacentral:lncRNA from 1 species